UGCUCCACAGUCGGUGACUCUCCAGUAGUUACCCCCAAGGCUUUGGAGUUGAAUGUAAUAUUGAUCAUGAUAUGGUGGAGCCAAACAUGGCAUCAGAAGCAGAGUCGUGGGUGAUAGCAUAAUGUUCUGCAAAAGUAUGAGCAGAUGCCUAAGUUGCUGCUCUUCAGACUUCUGUGAUGGGAACAUUUUUGAUGAAGGCUACAGAACUGGAAACAGAUCUCAUGGAAUGAAGAUUGCCGGAGGCUGAAGAUUGCAGAUACAAUAGCAAGAGGACAUCUCUGCUUUUGAACCAUCAAUGAGCCAUGCCUUGAGUCAGAGGAGCUGUAAAUUGGGCUGGUGGCUCUGUCCAGCAUUCUGAGCAAGGAGGACCUUCAAUGUGAGAGGAAUUGGAGGAAAGGCAUAAAGGAGACCUGUGUUCCAGUGACAGAGGAAGGUUCCAAUCAGGCCGGGAGCACCAUUGUGCUGGUUCCUGUAUGCACACAAAACAAGACCAUCUCAAUCCACAGAGGAAGAUCAGGGGAUGGGGAUACACCAUAAGAGCAAAUGAAACUGAUGAAAAAUUGUCCCAGCUUUACC